rnacentral:rRNA from 1 species
AACGUAGGUGGCAAGCGUUAUCCGGAUUUACUGGGCGUAAAGGGUGUGCAGGCGGGGUUGCAAGUGGUGUAUGAAAUCUCCCGGCUUAACCGGGAGGGGUUAUGCCAGACUGCAAUUCUAGAGGACGAGAGAGGGGGGGGGUGGAAUUCCGGGUGUAGUGGUGAAAUGCGUAGAGAUCCGGAGGAACCCCAGAGGCGAAGGCGGCCCCCUGGCUCGUACCUGACGCUCAGCCACGAAAGCAUGGGGAGCGAACGGG